GAAUUCACAAUGCUCACAUACUUGUCCCUACUCGCUUGGGUUGAGUUUGGCGAAAUGAAAAAUUUUAUGAUCAAAGCGAGUAAAAUUCUGUUUAGCCGAUUGAAGUGCAUAAAAAAGAUUUCAAAAAUUUGUAACUAGAAUUAUUUUACCGUUCUAGCUAGUAGUUAUCUUUUUGUGUCGAUCCUAGUUCACCAUUAAAUAAAUAAAAUUGCUAGGAUAAAAAUGUACCGAAUAAUUAGUGGCGGAUCUAGGUGGUGGCGAGUUAGGGCGGUCGCCCUAGCUGGAUUUGCUUGAACGGUCGUGCAUGCUGCUCAUUUGGAAUUUUCAGUAGUUCUCAAGCGGCAGUCUUGCAGUUGCGGAGAUGGAAAUUGCAGAAGAAAGAAGCAAGGAAGAAGACGACUGAAUUGGGUUAUUUUCUCUCUCUUUUUCCUUUUCAGUUUCGGCCCUUUUGUUUGGGAUGAUGGGCCUCUCUUAUUUUUUUUUAAAAAUAUUAGGCCCAAUCCAUGAAUAUAUGUCCAAUGUAUAUCUUUAAUUGAAAAUCCAUUACUAAUUACCCAUAUCAUUGCAGACGGGAAACCCUUCUCCAAUUCUCCUUCUUCCCCACGAUUUGUGAAGUGCGAACUCAGAAGUCAAUACUGUAGCUUGGCGACAAGUCGUCGCCGACCUCUCCAAUCUCCAGUCUUAGACUGACUUUGAGUGCCUCUCUCUCUCUCUCAUUUUUUAUUUUUGUUCACUUAAUUCAUUCUUGAUUUAUUAUUUAUGAGAUAAUUUAUUUUUUAUAAGUUAUGAAAAAUAACCAUAGGAAUAAAAGUGAAAUUGGAGUAUGUGAUAUUUAGGGAUUUUGAAUUUGGAUAGAAUCACUUCUUUAGUUAGCACAAAUUCGGUGUGAAUUGAACGAAGACAACACUGUAGAUGGUUGAGAGAAUUUAGGGAUUGGAAUUGGCACUAAUUUGGUAGAAUAAGCAACAUGUGGAUUGAUUAAUGAUUUUAACUCAAUAGAUCGAAGAUAAUUGAUUAAGAUGGAGAGAUUCUCGUCAGUUAAUUGAAUUAGUACAAGGAGUUGAGUGAUUUGAUUAUUUUUAUUUAUACUACUAAAUUAAGGAGUCGGAAUCAGAUUGAGAUUGAGAUUGUAUCUUGUAUUUUUUUUUUCUACAAUUAUUUCGGAUUGUAUUAAAUUGUAUUUUCAUGUAUAUUUUUUACGUUUUAGUACAUUUACUUAUAGAUUGAAGAAUUUUUACUAUUAUUUAAUAUAAUAUUAUUAAUAAACAUCCUUGUUAUUAUGGACGUUGUUUGUCGAUGGUCAAUGUUCACCCUACCUGAGUUCCAAUUCUGGAUUUGCCACUGCGAAUAAUACUCUAUCCAUCCCAUAAAGAUAGACUGACUUUUAUUUUCACACGAAUUAAGAAAAUUUAGCUAAUACAAUUUUACUUCCAUUUUUUCUAAUAUACCUCUAAAUUAAUAUCAGAUGUCUCAUUUCUUCGUUAAAACUAUAUAGCAAUAAACUAUUAAAUUAUUUUGAAACUAAUCGUUCUUUAAUGCAAGUUUCAAUGUAAUUAAGAUUGUAAAGUUGGC
rnacentral:lncRNA from 1 species